rnacentral:rRNA from 1 species
GGUGAGUAACACGUAGGUAACCUACCCUUAGGCGGGGGAAACUCUGGGAAACUUGAGCUAAUACCGCAUAAAUCCACGGGCUGGGAUGCUUGUGGGGAAAGUGGCAUCACACCUAAGGAUGGGCCUGCGGCCUAUCAGGUAGUUGGUGGGGUAAGAGCCCACCAAGCCGAAGACGGGUAGCCGGGCUGAGAGGUUGAACGGCCACACUGGAACUGAGACACGGUCCAGACUCCUACGGGAGGCAGCAGUGGGGAAUCUUGCGCAAUGGGGGAAACCCUGACGCAGCGACGCCACGUGGAGGAUGAAGGUCUUCGGGUUGUAAACUCCUUUUCUUGGGGAAAAUGAUGAUGGUACUCAAGGAAUAAGCCACGGCUAACUCUGUGCCAGCAGCCGCGGUAAGACAGAGGUGGCGAGCGUUGUUCGGAAUUACUGGGCUUAAAGGGCGAGUAGGCGGUAGAGCAAGUCUGAGGUGGAAUCCUAUGGCUUAACCAUAGAACUGCCUUAGAAACUGCUUUACUUGAGUCAGUGAGGGGAGGGCGGAAUUCCUGGUGUAGCGAUGAAAUGCGUAGAUAUCAGGAGGAAGGCCUGUGGCGAAAGCGGCCCUCUGGCACUGUACUGACGCUGAGGCGCGAAAGCGUGGGGAGCAAACAGGCUUAGAUACCCUGGUAGUCCACGCCCUAAACGGUGGGCAUUAGGUGUAGGGCUCGUAAGUGUUCUGUGCCGAAGAGAAACCAUUAAAUGCCCUGACUGGGGAGUACGGCCGCAAGGUUU